rnacentral:lncRNA from 1 species
CGAAUCUGGAUCUCGAUCAACCCAUUGUAUUUUUAGUCCAACUAUAUAUGUGUUGUUGUAGUUAGGGUUUCAGUAUUCUUUUAGGCUAACCUCUAUAGAGUCCUCAACUUUCACUUAACAUAUAUAUCGACCUUGCCUUCACCUUCUCCUAUACCAAUAUAGUGGAACCCAUAAAAUAGUUUUAUCACUUAGAACUUGAGUUAUAAUCCUGGAAUUCGAUCUCAUUUUUUAGACUAAUAUAUAUUUGUUACGUGUGUCUCGA